rnacentral:rRNA from 1 species
UACGUAGGUGGCAAGCGUUGUCCGGAUUUACUGGGCGUAAAGGGCGUGUAGGCGGCCAACUAAGUCCGACGUGAAAUCCCCAGGCUUAACCUGGGAACUGCGUCGGAUACUGGAUGGCUUGAAUCCGGGAGAGGGAUGCGGAAUUCCAGGUGUAGCGGUGAAAUGCGUAGAUAUCUGGAGGAACACCGGUGGCGAAGGCGGCAUCCUGGACCGGCAUUGACGCUAAAGCGCGAAAGCCAGGGGAGCAAACGGG